AAAGAAAAUCAUAUGAGAAAAUAUGUCCAAAAGUUAAAAUUUCAAAAUAGAUGAUAUAUACCAGAAAGCAUUACAAAAAUAACAAUAAAAAGUAUUUUAAAAAUAAAAGGACAAGACAUAAGACAAUCUGCCAAUGCAUGUUAGAGAAGGAAUAGGAAAAGUAAUUUCACUAUAUUUCUGACUAGGACAGGACCUAUUACAAAAAUAUUUUUUGGUGGGGCAACAACCCUGAAAAUACAGAUUUCCCAUCCUUUCUUUCAAUUCUAGCAAAAUACAGUUGGGACGGGUUAAUUCAAAACCCUCAAGUAAAAUAAGAAGAGCCUUUCCAUUAUGCACUAUCA
rnacentral:misc_RNA from 1 species